AGAGAAGUCUCCAGGAGCUGAUCCAGUCUACUCUGCAGUGAAGACCUCCAACACCACAGUUCCAGGUGGAUCCGGUCCAGGUGAUGUGACCUAUGCUGACAUCAACCACACUGAUAAGAGACAACACAACAGGAGGAGAGAGAACGUUGUUCCAGACCCUGUCUACUCAGCAGUGAAGACAGACAGACAGAGAUAGGGGUCAGUAGGUCGUUCCAG